GACGAACGCUGGCGGCGUGCUUAACACAUGCAAGUCGAACGCGCCUGUCCUCUGGGUUUCUGGGGGGUGGGUGAGUGGCGAACGGGUGAGUAACACGUGAGUAACCUGCCCCCUUCUUCGGGAUAACGGUCUGAAAGGGCUGCUAAUACCGGGUAUUCACUGGUCUCCGCAUGGGGUCUGGUGGAAAGGUUUUUUUCUGGUGGGGGAUGGGCUCGCGGCCUAUCAGCUUGUUGGUGGGGUGAUGGCCCACCAAGGCUUUGACGGGUAGCCGGCCUGAGAGGGUGACCGGUCAGAGUGGGACUGAGGUACGGCCCAGACUCCUACGGGAGGCAGCAGUGGGGAGUAUUGCACAAUGGGCGCAAGCGUGAUGCAGCGACGCCGCGUGAGGGAUGGAGGCCUUCGGGUUGUGAACCUCUUUCGCCCGUGGUCAAGCCGCGACGUGGGUCGUGGUGAGGGUAGUGGGUAAAGAAGCGCCGGCUAACUACGUG
rnacentral:rRNA from 1 species